rnacentral:rRNA from 1 species
AUUGAACGCUGGCGGAAUGCUUUACACAUGCAAGUCGAACGGCAGCACGGACUUCGGUCUGGUGGCGAGUGGCGAACGGGUGAGUAAUACAUCGGAACGUGCCCAGUCGUGGGGGAUAACGUAGCGAAAGCUACGCUAAUACCGCAUACGAUCUACGGAUGAAAGCGGGGGAUCGCAGGACCUCGCGCGACUGGAGCGGCCGAUGGCAGAUUAGGUAGUUGGUAGGGUAAAGGCCUACCAAGCCGACGAUCUGUAGCUGGUCUGAGAGGAUGAUCAGCCACACUGGGACUGAGACACGGCCCAGACUCCUACGGGAGGCAGCAGUGGGGAAUUUUGGACAAUGGACGCAAGUCUGAUCCAGCCAUUCCGCGUGCAGGAUGAAGGCCCUCGGGUUGUAAACUGCUUUUGUACAGAACGAAAAGGCUCUGGUUAAUACCUGGGGCUCAUGACGGUACUGUAAGAAUAAGCACCGGCUAACUACGUGCCAGCAGCCGCGGUAA